CCAGAGCCUGCCCCUGGCUCAGCGCCCGGUGCCAACAGAACACCUUUCAAGAUCCACAGCAACGCAGAAAACGAGUCCAGGAUCCCGGCCUCUGCUUGGAACGGAACAGUGUCAUGGCGGAGACGACGGCCUUUGUCUUGCUGGGUGUGAAAGCAUCCACUGUGCUGGCUCCACUGCGGCAGAAUGAAGUUUAAAGGAAAAAACAGGCUGCAAGUGAAGCGACAAGAGGAAUCCAUUAUGCAAAUCGUGUCACUUUGCAUAAUGUCUCAUGACUAGAAUAUGCAAAUGAGCUGUAUAAUUUAUGAGUACCAGUGUCUGUCUAAAAGUGUUUCACAUAAUUUACAAAGUGGCCUGAGAGACAUGGGGAAGGCAGCUCUUCCAACUCCAUUGCCAGGAAAUGUAUAUUUUUCUACAAGUGCGCCCUAGUAAUAUUGUCAAGUGCUAUUUAAAGUAAAUUAAGUUUCCAAAUGUUCAUGAAAGAUGAAGCUUUUCCUCUCACAUUCUUCACCCAAAUCCUUUGCCUAAAAGUUUUCAAGAAACUAUUAGACUCUAAAGCAUUAAUUUUUAGAUUUAAUUUGGAAAAGGAAAGUUAUUUGAGCAAACUUGAUUAUUUAUAUAUGGAUUUUCCUUUCUAAAGCAAGGAAUGUUUUAGAGAAACAGACACCUUAUCCAUUUGCCUGGGUCUAUGAAAGCAGAAAAAUGGUGUUUCUCAUUUUGGUUCGUUUUGUGUAUGCCCUUCUGUGUGAAAAAUUUUAUAAAUUAUAGCCCCUUGGAUUUAUGAUUAGAUAUGUAAUAUGAAAGAUUGAUGUAUUCAUUGUUCUUUUGAAGGCAUAAUUCUGCUUUCAGAGAAGUCUUCAGAAUAGAACUUAUAUGCAUUAAAGAUCAGA